AGAGUUUGAUCAUGGCUCAGGACGAACGCUGGCGGCGUGCUUAACACAUGCAAGUCGAACGGAAAGGCCCUUCGGGGUACUCGAGUGGCGAACGGGUGAGUAACACGUGGGUGAUCUGCCCUGCACUCUGGGAUAAGCCUGGGAAACUGGGUCUAAUACCGGAUAGGACCGUAUGCUUCAUGGUGUGUGGUGCAAAGCUUUUGCGGUGUGGGAUGAGCCCGCGGCCUAUCAGCUUGUUGGUGGGGUAAUGGCCUACCAAGGCGACGACGGGUAGCCGGCCUGAGAGGGUGACCGGCCACACUGGGACUGAGAUACGGCCCAGACUCCUACGGGAGGCAGCAGUGGGGAAUAUUGCACAAUGGGCGCAAGCCUGAUGCAGCGACGCCGCGUGAGGGAUGACGGCCUUCGGGUUGUAAACCUCUUUCAGUAGGGACGAAGCGAAAGUGACGGUACCUACAGAAGAAGGACCGGCCAACUACGUGCCAGCAGCCGCGGUAAUACGUAGGGUCCGAGCGUUGUCCGGAAUUACUGGGCGUAAAGAGCUCGUAGGUGGUUUGUCGCGUUGUUCGUGAAAACUCACAGCUUAACUGUGGGCGUGCGAGCGAUACGGGCAGACUAGAGUACUGCAGGGGAGACUGGAAUUCCUGGUGUAGCGGUGGAAUGCGCAGAUAUCAGGGGGAACACCGGUGGCGAAGGCGGGUCUCUGGGCAGUAACUGACGCUGAGGAGCGAAAGCGUGGGUAGCGAACAGGAUUAGAUACCCUGGUAGUCCAA
rnacentral:rRNA from 1 species